rnacentral:rRNA from 1 species
AGUGAACGCUGGCGGUAGGACUAACACAUGCAAGUCGAACGGCAGCACAGUAAGAGCUUGCUCUUACGGGUGGCGAGUGGCGGACGGGUGAGGAAUACAUCGGAAUCUACUUUUUCGUGGGGGAUAACGUAGGGAAACUUACGCUAAUACCGCAUACGACCUACGGGUGAAAGCAGGGGAUCUUCGGACCUUGCGCGAUUGAAUGAGCCGAUGUCGGAUUAGCUAGUUGGCGGGGUAAAGGCCCACCAAGGCGACGAUCCGUAGCUGGUCUGAGAGGAUGAUCAGCCACGCUGGAACUGAGACACGGUCCAGACUCCUACGGGAGGCAGCAGUGGGGAAUAUUGGACAAUGGGCGCAAGCCUGAUCCAGCCAUACCGCGUGGGUGAAGAAGGCCUUCGGGUUGUAAAGCCCUUUUGUUGGGAAAGAAAAGCAGCAGGUUAAUACCCCGCUGUUCUGACGGUACCCAAAGAAUAAGCACCGGCUAACUUCGUG